CCUACGGGUGGCAGCAGUGAGGAAUAUUGGUCAAUGGACGAGAGUCUGAACCAGCCAAGUAGCGUGAAGGAUGACUGCCCUACGGGUUGUAAACUUCUUUUAUAUGGGAAUAAAAUGAUCCACGUGUGGGAUUUUGUAUGUACCUUAUGAAUAAGGAUCGGCUAACUCCGUGCCAGCAGCCGCGGUAAUACGGAGGAUCCGAGCGUUAUCCGGAUUUAUUGGGUUUAAAGGGUGCGUAGGCGGAUUUUUAAGUCAGCGGUAAAAUGUCCGGGCUCAACCCGGGCCGGCCGUUGAAACUGGGGGUCUUGAGUGGGCGAGAGGUAUGCGGAAUGCGUGGUGUAGCGGUGAAAUGCAUAGAUAUCACGCAGAACUCCGAUUGCGAAGGCAGCAUAC
rnacentral:rRNA from 1 species